UGGUGGAGUGAUUUGUCUGGUUAAUUCCGUUAACGAACGAGACCUCAUCCUGCUAAUUAGUCUAAGCAAUCCUCGGAUUGGCUCUGACUUCUUAGAGGGACUGUUGGUGUGGCAAGCCAACGGAGGUUUGAGGCAAUAACA
rnacentral:rRNA from 1 species